rnacentral:misc_RNA from 1 species
GAUCAUUACCGAAGUUACUCUUCAAAACCCAUUGUGAACCUUACCUCUUGCCGCGCGUUGCCUCGGCGGGGAGGCGGGGUCUGGGUCGGCGCGCCCCUCACCGGGCCGCCGUCCCCGUCCCCGUCCCCGCCGGCCGCGCCAAACUCUAAAUUUGAAAAAGCGUACUGCACGUUCUGAUUCAAAACAAAAAACAAGUCAAAACUUUUAACAACGGAUCUCUUGGUUCUGGCAUCGAUGAAGAACGCAGCGAAAUGCGAUAAGUAAUGUGAAUUGCAGAAUUCAGUGAAUCAUCGAAUCUUUGAACGCACAUUGCGCCCGGCAGCAAUCUGCCGGGCAUGCCUGUCCGAGCGUCAUUUCUUCCCUCGAGCGCGGCUAGCCCUACGGGGCCUGCCGUCGCCCGGUGUUGGGGCUCUACGGGUGGGGCUCGUCCCCCCCGCAGUCCCCGAAAUGUAGUGGCGGUCCAGCCGCGGCGCCCCCUGCGU